GCUGUUAUAGCUCAGUGGUAGAGCGCAUCCUUGGUAAGGAUGAGGUCGUGAGUUCAACUCUCACUAACAGCU
rnacentral:tRNA from 1 species